UAUUGUUAACAUUGUUAAAGGUAUAAUAGACAUUACACCUAACGUCAAAGUAUUUCACAUAUGCUUUCAGGACGGCGAUGAUUUUGUUGACGGAUACCGCAAUCGUUUCUGUCAAAUAUCGAAGUUACUGCCGACGAAAGUUAAAUCAUGAGCACGCGCCCGCGCAUCUAUUUGACCCAGAAGAUACCGGAAGAAUGCGAGGGAUGGCGUCUACUCAGGGAAUCGUGUGACGUCAAGGUUUACGACGAAAUCGAAACUGGUCACAUGAUUGUACCACGUGACCAGUUACUGCGGGACGUCCGCGGUGUGGAUGCACUUUAUUUGGCAUUGCCGGUGCAGGUCGAUGCGGAACUCCUCGACGCCGCUGGCCCGCAGUUGAAGGUAAUAGCUACCAAGUCCGUCGGCUUGAACCACAUUGAUUUGGCAGAGUGCGCCCGACGGAAUAUCCCAGUUGGCUAUACACCGGAUGUGCUUACCGAUG